rnacentral:rRNA from 1 species
GAUGAACGCUGGCGGCGUGCCUAAUACAUGCAAGUCGAGCGAAUGGAUUAAGAGCUUGCUCUUAUGAAGUUAGCGGCGGACGGGUGAGUAACACGUGGGUAACCUGCCCAUAAGACUGGGAUAACUCCGGGAAACCGGGGCUAAUACCGGAUAACAUUUUGAACCGCAUGGUUCGAAAUUGAAAGGCGGCUUCGGCUGUCACUUAUGGAUGGACCCGCGUCGCAUUAGCUAGUUGGUGAGGUAACGGCUCACCAAGGCAACGAUGCGUAGCCGACCUGAGAGGGUGAUCGGCCACCCGGGGACUGAGACACGGCCCAGACUCCUCCGGGAGGCAGCAGUAGGGAAUCUUCCGCAAUGGACGAAAGUCUGACGGAGCAACGCGGCGUGAGUGAUGAAGGCUUUCGGGUCGUAAAACUCUGUUGUUAGGGAAGAACAAGUGCUAGUUGAAUAAGCUGGCACCUUGACGGUACCUAACCAGAAAGCCACGGCUAACUACGUGCCAGCAGCCGCCGUAA